AUAGUCAACCGGAUUUAAUCCAUAAACCGAAAGAGUAAAUACAAUAGCACAAAUAGUCUAUCUUCUUUUACUAUCCUAUAGCUAUUUUACUCUCUUCUAACCCCGAUUCCCUUGAAGAUGUUAUUUCCGUUCACAAACACUUUCAUACUAAGUAGAAAUGACUUAUUGUGAUCGUUAACAAACAAGAUCCCUAUUUAAUUUGUUUUGAACGUUGAAUUAUCUUCUUGGAGCUUUAGGGUACUCUUCUCCUUUGCCAUGAGAGUCUCUUUCUUGUCUUUGUAGUUAUUGUUUUGUGGUGGUUUUGUUUUUAUGGGUGGUCUUGGCGGUGGCCUCCUUGUUGUGUUUAUGUAUCUCCUGCAAAAAAAAAAAGAAGGCAACAAAUCAAGAAGAAACACCAACUAGAAAUAUCACACAUAAUUAUUGUAAACGAGUGACUGUCCAAAUUUACUCCUCUACUACGUUGAUAUUAUUCAUAUAUCCUUCUUGUUAACAAUGUAUUGUCUCUGUUAAAAUUUCAUAUGGAGCUCCUGCAUGAAUUCUACAUGUUAAAUUACGGGUGAUUAUUGAAAUAGAUUGAAAAUUAAUGGGUAUUGG
rnacentral:lncRNA from 1 species